GGAGAGCUGUAGUGCCACUGGUCUGCUUCCACAUUAUAGAGUGGCAUCAGCCUGAUCGGGUCAUGCGACAGUUUGGUAUGCAGCAGCACAUUCCUGCUGAACCUCAACAGUCUGCUGCACUCCAUGAUGUCGAUUUGCGUAAGAGCGACACAGAUUGGGCUGAGGUGCACUCCCAUUGGAUUGCGCGCUGGAACACCCGAGAAAGACGAAUAGUAACUGCCCCGCCAGCAACGGAACCACUCCAUUUUCAUUCGGAGUACAUGGAGUGGUAUCGUAGGGUGUCCAGACGCUGGAUCUCGGUUAAAGGAGCGGCUAUGGGAUCGGGGGAGGAUGGUGUAGAGCGUAUGCAGGCUAUUGCGACAAAUCCGACUACGGGGAGCAUGACGUCCAUUUGCGACCUCCUUCAAUCAGUUUCAUUAUGUAUGAUGGAGGAGAGGCGGCAAACACAAUUCCCAGCUCCACAGCCAGCACCGGCUCGACCUCACAUCACGUCUGAUCCAGAUGACCCACCCAUUCCUCAGCGCUCAUCCAGAGCACGUGGUCAUGCUAGGGGCCGUCAACGGGAGCAUGCUCCAGCAUCAGAACGUGAUAGCGACGUGCAUCCAGUACCUCCCCCGAUACAGUAUCACCAGUCUCAAGAGGAAUACGGAUAUGCUCCAGGUUCCUCGCACGUUCCACCCAGUUCUUCUCAGGUACCUUCCAUGUAUUAUCCUACUCAGAGUCAGUUCAUGGGAUGGACGCCUGGACCGAGUACAGUGCCUUCGGUUACUCCCGCUGCGUCUGGUGUACCAUGUACGCCUAUUGGAUCUAUGUUUCCUGCAUUUGCCUCAGAGUCUGCACAUGAUGCUUCUACGUCUAGGCAGAAUAUUUUUGCAGGAUACAAUCCUGGAUUAGGAUAUGGCCAGGCUGGUUUUGGUGUGUUUGGUCAGCCUGAUCCUUCAGAUUCAGUGGUGCAAAAUCCAGAUGUAAUUGCGCCGACACAGGCUGAUUUGGAUAAUCAGCAAUUCCUAGCACCGGGACCAUGGCGAGGCAGAUUACGGGGUCCACAUGAGCGGAGACAUCCAGGAUGUGGGACUGGUGAUCAUCACUGAGUGCAAGUCGAAAUUGUGUAAAUUAAACAGUGGCGGGCACUUGAGGAAGCUACUGAUGUACAUCAUUCCACAUGCAAUUUGGUUGGUGUCUAAAAUUGAUAAAAUGGUGAUUAUUUGAAGUUUGAAAUUACUACGAAGGAUAAAAUGGAUUAUUUGAAGUUUGUAAUUAUUGUGUAAUUAUUUGUAAUUAUUUGUCAUUAUUGUGUGUAUUUGUAAUUAUUGUGUAAUUAUUUGUAAUUAUUUGUCAUUAUAAGAGAUAGUUUUUCCUUUUCCCCAUUUUAUUUUAAUA